AAACGACUCUCGGCAACGGAUAUCUCGGCUCUUGCAUCGAUGAAGAACGUAGCGAAAUGCGAUACUUGGUGUGAAUUGCAGAAUCCCGUGAACCAUCGAGUCUUUGAACGCAAGUUGCGCCCAAAGCCAUUGGCCAAGGGCACGUCUGCCUGGGCGUCACACAU
rnacentral:rRNA from 1 species